rnacentral:rRNA from 1 species
CACGUAGUUAGCCGUGGCUUGCUUUUCCGGUACCGUCAAUGCAGUUUGUUCUUCGCACUCUGCCUUUUUCGUCCCGGAUCACAGAGUUUUACAACCCGAAGGCCGUCAUCACUCACGCGGCGUUGCUCCGUCAGGCUUUCGCCCAUUGCGGAAGAUUCCCCACUGCUGCCUCCCGUAGGAGUCUGGACCGUGUCUCAGUUCCAGUGUGGCCGUUCAUCCUCUCAGACCGGCUACUGAUCGUCGCCUUGGUGGGCCGUUACCCUCAACCAGCUAAUCAGACGCAAACCCCGUCUUCAGGCGAUAGCUUACAGGUAGAGGCCACCUUUUCUUCCAUGGGCCAUGCGGUCCUUGGAACUUAUUCGGUAUUAGCAGUCGUUUCCGUCUGUUGUCCCCAUCCUGAAGGCAGGUUGUUUACGUGUUACUCACCCGUUUGCCACUCAAUUCCGGAAAGAGCAAGCUCUUCCCCGUCUUUUACGUUCGACUUGCAUGUGUUAAGCACGCGCCAGCGUGUCUCGUAGCGAC